rnacentral:lncRNA from 1 species
GCAUUAAUAUAUUCAAGAUCUGUGUGAAGGAGCAGAAUGAUACAUUUGAAAUAGAUAUUAUGCAUUUUUGACACAGAAUGCUUUUUGUUAUGAUAUUUCUCUUUUUAACUUUUAAAAACAUUAAUUGGAAUGCAUACUGCAGAAACUCCAUCUUAAUACACCGGAUUCUGCCACAAAUAAAAACCAUGAUUUAGCCAAGUUUGCUGAAUGGAGCAUAAAAUAAUCAAUAAAUCAAGGAGUUGCAUAGUUUACAAAAACAUCUGACGAAGACUUGGACAUCGAGGACACAAAACGACAGAAUUAAUUGAACCUUAUCUGCGGCUUCAACUUCACUUACAGAUAACAGAAUAAAGAAGGCGGC